GACGAACGCUGGCGGCGUGCUUAACACAUGCAAGUCGAACGAUGAAGCCCAGCUUUCGUGGUGUGUUAGUGUCGAAAGGGUGUGUAACACGUGAGUAUACCCUGCUUAAGUCUGGGAUAUGCCUUGGAAACACUGGGUAAUACAGCGUAUAGGAGCCCAUGCCACAGGGGGGGGUUUGGAGAUUUUUCGCGGUUGGGGAUGGACUCGCGGCUUAUCAGCUUGUUGGUGGGGUAAUGGCUUACCAAGGCGACGACGGGUAGCCGGCCUGAGAGGGUGACCGGCCACAUUGGGACUGAGAAACGGCCCAGACUCCUACGGGAGGCAGCAGUGGGGAAUAUUGCACAAUGGGCGCAAGCCUGAUGCAGCGACGCCGCGUGAGGGAUGACGGCCUUCGGGUUGUAAACCUCUUUCAGUAGGGAAGAAGCGAAAGUGACGGUACCUGCAGAAGAAGCACCGGCUAACUACGUG
rnacentral:rRNA from 1 species